AUGGAGCUGACCAGACCCCUGUGCCUCCUGCUCGCCGUCAUCGGCGCGGCGACGGCUGCCAUGGCCACGGCGGAGGAGCUCGAGAUGGAGGGCGUGUCAUCCUACAUCGUGCACGUCGCGCCGGAGCACGCGCCCCGGCUGCCGCGGCGCGGCCUGCUGGCCACCCGGCCGUACGCGGCCUUCCUGCGCGACCGCAUCCCGUUGGAGAUGUCCAGCCCGGCGCCGCGGGUGCUCUACUCCUACGCGCACGCCGCCACGGGCUUCGCGGCGCGGCUCACGGCCCGCCAGGCCGCGCGCCUCGCGUCCUCGGGCGCCGUCCUCGCCGUCGUGCCCGACGAGGUGCAGGAGCUGCACACCACCCUCACGCCGUCCUUCCUCCGGCUCUCGGAGUCGUCCGGGCUGCUCCCGGCGUCCAGCGGCGCCUCCGACGUCGUCAUCGGCGUCAUCGACACCGGCGUGUACCCGGAGGGGCGCAAGUCCUUCGCCGCGGACCCGUCGCUGCCGCCGCCGCCCCGCAGGUUCCGCGGCGGCUGCGUGUCGACCCCGGAGUUCAACGCCUCCGCGUACUGCAACGGCAAGAUCGUCGGCGCCAAGUUCUUCCGCCGGGGACACGAGGCCGCGACAGGUCGGCGCAAUGCGGUCGGUGAGACGGUGUCCAUGUCGCCGCUCGAUACCGAAGGCCACGGCACGCACAUCGCGUCCACCGCCGCCGGCUCUGCCGUGGCGGACGCGUCCUUGUACGGCUACGGCGAAGGAAGAGCCGUCGGCGCGGCGCCGGGCGCGCGCAUCGCCGUCUACAAGGCGUGCUGGAAAGGGUGCGCCAGCUCCGACACCCUUGCCGCGUUCGACGAGGCCAUCGCAGACGGCGUCGACGUCAUCUCUGCUUCGCUCGGCACCAUGAAGGCACGCAAGUUCUACAAGGAUACCACGGCCGUGGGCGCGUUCCACGCUGUUAGCAAGGGCAUCGUCGUCUCCGCCUCCGCUGGGAACUCCGGCCCCGGCGAAUCCACCGUCGUCAACGUCGCGCCGUGGUUCUUGACCGUCGGCGCGUCCACCAUCAACCGCGAAUUUCCGGCCGACGUCGUUCUCGGCAACGGGGAGACCUUCACGGGCACCUCGUUGUACGCCGGCGAACCGCUUGGCCGGACAAAGGUUCCACUGGUGUACGGCGAAGACGUGGGCUCGAACAUCUGUGAAGCCGCGAAGCUCAAUCCCGACUUGGUUGCCGGGAAGAUUGUUUUGUGCGAUCCCGGAGUGAAUGGGCGGACAGAGAAAGGAUUUGCCGUUAAACUCGCCGGUGGCGCGGGAGCAAUCCUCGGUGGCGACGAAGCACAGGGCGAGCAGGCCAGAACCAGCGCUCACAUCCUCCCCGCCAGUGCCGUCACAUUUGCCGCCGCCGAGAAGAUCAAGAAGUACUUGCGCACGCAAGCAUCCCCCGUCGCCACCAUCGUGUUCCACGGCACCGUCGUCGGACGGUCGCCCCCUUCGCCAAGAAUGGCAUCCUUCUCCAGCCGCGGCCCGAGCCGGCUCGUCCCGGAGAUCCUCAAGCCGGACGUCACGGCCCCCGGCGUGGACAUACUGGCUGCCUGGACAGGCGCCGCCUCGCCCUCGCUGCUCGACGGCGACUCGAGGCGCGUGCAGUACAACAUCAUGUCGGGCACCUCGAUAUCGUGCCCACAGUUGAGCGGCAUCGCGGCGCUGCUCCGGCAGGCGAGGCCGAAGUGGAGCCCGGCGGCGAUCAAGUCCGCCCUGAUGACCACCGCGUACAACGUGGACAGCGCCGGCGCCGUCAUCGGGGACAUGUCCACCGGCAAGGCUUCCACGCCAUUCGCGCGCGGGGCAGGCCACGUGGACCCCAACCGCGCCACCGAUCCAGGCCUGGUGUACGACGCCGGCACGGAGGACUACAUUGCCUUCCUCUGCACGCUCGGCUACACCGCCGAGCAGAUGGCCGUGUUCAGCCCGGCGACCAACUGCUCGACGCGCGCGGGCGCCGGCGUGGGGGACCUCAACUACCCGGCCUUCUCGGCGGUGUUCGGCCCGGAGAAACGCGCGGUCACGCAGCGCCGCGUCGUGCGGAACGUCGGGAGCAGCGUCAGGGCGACGUACAGGGCCAAGAUCGCCAGCCCCGCCGGCGUGGCCGUGACGGUGAGGCCGCAGAAGCUGCAGUUCAGCGCGACGCAGGGGACGCAGGAGUACGCGAUCACCUUCGCGCCACGGAUGUUUGGGAACGUCACGGAGAAGCACACGUUCGGGUCGAUCGAGUGGAGCGACGGCGAGCACUCGGUGACGAGCCCCAUCGCCAUCACCUGGCCGGCGAGCCAGGUUGCAGACAUGUGA
rnacentral:rRNA from 1 species